ACAUGUUUUUUUUAUUUGUCUAUAUCCUAGAUUCGCAGCUGGACACAUCCUUCUACACUGUAUGCAAACAUGCAACAUCAUUACACACAGUACAAGGAGUCAGACUGGCAUAUGAGGAGCAAAGGUGUGUAACACAUAUGAUGUAUUUAGCUAGUGAAACCACUACCAGUCUUAGAUGUAUAACUGAUGAUGAUAAAGUUUUUUUUCUCUGCAUAAUAAUAGGAACCCAGGCAGUAGCGUCGUUUCACAAUGUUUCCAUCAUCAUCAUCAGUGGAUGCCUUUGCCGUCCGUAGCCUGAGAUUUCAGAUUUGCAGCAAAAAAUUUUUGAUUUUCUCAUUUAUUGGAAUGCUGUGCAGGUAUUUGUACCUUGCAGCCAUCCAUUACAAUGUCACCAAGCCGUAACAAAAGCAGGAGAGGGAAAGUACAAGGCUAUGUUCCCAAAACACACAAGUGACAUACCUUAUGUGGAUGAUGUGAUCAGGCUUGUGUUUGAUGAGGUAUUUGAAGAUAAGCUGAAGGAAACCCCGAUUCCAAUGGACCUGGCAUCACAGUUUGAGAGACCUUCAAAGGAGGACGUGAUUGCAUGCCAUCUUCAGUGCAGGGGUCGUCGAAAGCCAAAAUUGUGACCGAUCUGAUCAGGAAGCUCCAAGCGUAUCUGGAGAACAACACACGACAGGAUGAUAACCUUAUAGUGUCGUCUUAAAUAGCACCAGCUGACAAAGCUUUGAUAUGCCAUUUAUCUGAAUAGAUAGCUGUAAGAAAUGAAUUGAACAAUUUUUGAAACAAGA